CUACGGGAGGCUCCAGUGGGGAAUAUUGGACAAUGGAGGCAACUCUGAUCCAGCAAUUCCGCGUGAAUGAUGAAGGUCUUCGGAUUGUAAAAUUCUUUUAGUUGGGAAGAUAGUGACGGUACCAACAGAAAAAGCACCGGCUAAUUACGUGCCAGCAGCCGCGGUAAGACGUAAGGUGCAAGUGUUAUCCGGAAUUACUAGGCGUAAAGGGCAUCUAGGCGGUUAAUUAAGUCAGAGGUGAAAAGUCAGGGCUCAACCUUGGCCUUGCCUUUGAUACUGGUUAACUAGAGUACGGGAGAGGAGGGCGGAACUACAAGUGUAGCGGUGAAAUGCGUAGAUAUUUGUAGGAAUGCCAAUGACGAAGGUAGCUCUCUGGACCGAUACUGACGCUAAAGUGCGAAAGCUAGGGGAGCAAACAGGAUUAGAUACCCGCGUAGUC
rnacentral:rRNA from 1 species